rnacentral:sRNA from 1 species
ACGAAUGACCAGCGAACGCGUCCUCUGACAAACCCCGGGCUGGGAACCGCCGGCCGUGCGCGAUCGGCCCCCGGCCCAAACAACAAAACCACGGCGCGGAAUGCGCCAAGGAAUCCAAACGUUAUUGUUCUCCCCGCCGUCUCCGGAGACGGAGUGCGGUCGGGGCGACGAGUGACCACAAGAGUAUAGAACGACUCUCGGCAACGGAUAUCUCGGCUCUUGCAUCGAUGAAGAACGUAGCGAAAUGCGAUACUUGGUGUGAAUUGCAGAAUCCCGUGAACCAUCGAGUCUUUGAACGCAAGUUGCGCCCGAAGCCCUUAGGCUGAGGGCACGCCUGCCUGGGUGUCACCAAAAGCUGCCCCCUCCCCUCCCGUCUCGGGGCACGGGGAAGGGGCGAAAGCUGGCCUCCCGUGGGCCCUCGGCUCGCGGUUGGUUAAAAGAGGCGGGCUCUUGGUGGGGAGCAGCACCGCGGCGGAUGGUGGUCGAGUGCGACCCUCGUGGCCAGCCGCGCGUUCUUCUCCCCCGUUUCAAGGCCCGGCGACCCUCGGGCGACGCCGAUCGUCCCUAGCGCGACCUCAG